UACGUAGGGAGCAAGCGUUGUCCGGAAUCAUUGGGCGUAAAGCGCGCGUAGGCGGCCCUGUAAGUCCGUUGUGAAAGUCAAAGGCUCAACCUUUGAAAGCCGAUGGAUACUGCAGGGCUAGAGUCCGGAAGAGGCGAGUGGAAUUCCUGGUGUAGCGGUGGAAUGCGCAGAUAUCAGGAGGAACACCAAUGGCGAAGGCAGAUCUCUGGGCCGUAACUGACGCUGAGGAGCGAAAGCAUGGGGAGCGAACAGG
rnacentral:rRNA from 1 species